AGAGAUGUAGCUCAGUGGUAUAGCAUUGGCUUGGCAAGUAGAAGAGCCCAGGUUCAAUCCCUGGAAUCUCCA